rnacentral:rRNA from 1 species
UAGUCCACGCCGUAAACGAUGAGAACUAGAUGUCGGGAGGAAUUGCCUUUCGGUGUCGCAGCUAACGCGUUAAGUUCUCCGCCUGGGGAGUACGCCGGCAACGGUAAAACUCAAAGGAAUUGACGGGGACCCGCACAAGCGGUGGAGCAUGUGGUUUAAUUCGAUGCAACGUGAAGAACCUUACCUGCCCUUGACAUUGACAGAAUCCUGUAGAGAUACAGGAGUGCUUCGGCCUGGAAAACAGGUGCUGCAUGGCUGUCGUCAGCUCGUGUCGUGAGAUGUUGGGUUAAGUCCCGCAACGAGCGCAACCCUUGUCCUUAGUUGCCAGCACAUAAUGGUGGGAACUCUAGGGAGACUGCCGGUGACAAACCGGGAGGAAGGUGGGGACGACGUCAAGUCAUCAUGGGCCCUUAUGGGGCAGGGGCUACACACGUGCUACAAUGGGGGAGUACAGAGGGGCUGCCAACCAGCAAUGGGCGAGCCAAUCCCUUAAAGCUUCUCGUAGUCCGGGAUC